AGAGUUUGAUCCUGGCUCAGGACGAACGCUGGCGGCACGCUUAACACAUGCAAGUCGAACGAGAGAAGAGGAGCUUGCUUUUCUGAUCUAGUGGCGGACGGGUGAGUAACACGUGAGCAAUCUGCCUUUCAGAGGGGGAUACCGAUUGGAAACGAUCGUUAAUACCGCAUAACAUAAUUGAACCGCAUGAUUUGAUUAUCAAAGAUUUAUCGCUGAAAGAUGAGCUCGCGUCUGAUUAGCUAGUUGGUAAGGUAACGGCUUACCAAGGCGACGAUCAGUAGCCGGACUGAGAGGUUGAUCGGCCACAUUGGGACUGAGACACGGCCCAGACUCCUACGGGAGGCAGCAGUGGGGAAUAUUGCACAAUGGAGGAAACUCUGAUGCAGCGAUGCCGCGUGAGGGAAGAAGGUUUUAGGAUUGUAAACCUCUGUCUUCAGGGACGAAAAAAGACGGUACCUGAGGAGGAAGCUCCGGCUAACUACGUGCCAGCAGCCGCGGUAAUACGUAGGGAGCGAGCGUUGUCCGGAAUUACUGGGUGUAAAGGGAGCGUAGGCGGGAUCGCAAGUCAGAUGUGAAAACUAUGGGCUUAACCCAUAAACUGCAUUUGAAACUGUGGUUCUUGAGUGAAGUAGAGGUAAGCGGAAUUCCUAGUGUAGCGGUGAAAUGCGUAGAUAUUAGGAGGAACAUCAGUGGCGAAGGCGGCUUACUGGGCUUUAACUGACGCUGAGGCUCGAAAGCGUGGGGAGCAAACAGGAUUAGAUACCCUGGUAGUCCACGCCGUAAACGAUGAUUACUAGGUGGGGGGGGACUGACCCCUUCCGUGCCGCAGCAAACGCAAUAAGUAAUCCACCUGGGGAGUACGACCGCAAGGUUGAAACUCAAAGGAAUUGACGGGGGCCCGCACAAGCAGUGGAGUAUGUGGAUUAAUUCGAAGCAACGCGAAGAACCUUACCAGGUCUUGACAUCGUAUGCAUAGCUCAGAGAUGAGUGAAAUCUCUUCGGAGACAUAUAGACAGGUGGUGCAUGGUUGUCGUCAGCUCGUGUCGUGAGAUGUUGGGUUAAGUCCCGCAACGAGCGCAACCCUUACUGUUAGUUGCUACGCAAGAGCACUCUAGCAGGACUGCCGUUGACAAAACGGAGGAAGGUGGGGAUGACGUCAAAUCAUCAUGCCCCUUAUGACCUGGGCCUCACACGUACUACAAUGGCUGUCAACAGAGGGAAGCAAAGCCGCGAGGUGGAGCGAACCCCUAAAAGCAGUCUUAGUUCGGAUUGUAGGCUGCAACCCGCCUACAUGAAGUCGGAAUUGCUAGUAAUCGCAGAUCAGCAUGCUGCGGUGAAUACGUUCCCGGGCCUUGUACACACCGCCCGUCACGCCAUGGGAGUCGGUAACACCCGAAGCCUGUAGUCUAACCGCAAGGAGGACGCAGUCGAAGGUGGGAUUGAUGACUGGGGUGAAGUCGUAACAAGGUA
rnacentral:rRNA from 1 species